rnacentral:rRNA from 1 species
CUUACCAGGUCCGGACACAGGAAGGAUUGACAGAUUGAUAGCUCUUUCUUAAUUUCUGUGGGUGGUGGUGCAUGGCCGUUCUUAGUUCGUGGAACUGAUCUGUCAGCUUAAUUGCGUUAACGAACGAGACCUUUAAUUAUUAAUUAGUUAAAUAUAUUUUUUAUAUACUUUAUUUUCUUUUUCUUCAUUUGAGAAAGAAAACAUGACUUCUUAAAAUAACAAUUGGUGAUUAACCAAAGUAAGUUAAAGGCAAUAACAGGUCUGUGAUGCCCUUUAGAUGUUCUGGGCUGCACGCGCGUUACACUGAAAAUAUCAAUAAGUUUUAUAUAUCCAAACAAUAAAAUCUUUUUUUUCUUGUUUUGAUAUGUCCUUGAUUGAAAAAUUUGGUAAACUUGAUAACUAUUUUCGUGUAUGGGGAUUGAUAAUUGUAAUUAUUUAUCAUGAACGAGGAAUACCUAGUAAACGCAAGUCAAUUAACUUG